GACGAACGCUGGCGGCGUGCUUAACACAUGCAAGUCGAACGGAAAGGCCCUGCUUGCAUGGUACUCGAGUGGCGAACGGGUGAGUAACACGUGUGUGAUCUGCCCUGCACUUCGGGAUAAGCCUGGGAAACUGGGUCUAAUACCGGAUAGGAGCCAUUUUUAGUGUGAUGGUUGGAAAGUUUUUUCGGUGUAGGAUGAGCUCGCGGCCUAUCAGCUUGUUGUUGGGGUAAUGGCCUACCAAGGCGGCGACGGGUAGCCGGCCUGAGAGGGUGGACGGCCACAUUGGGACUGAGAUACGGCCCAGACUCCUACGGGAGGCAGCAGUGGGGAAUAUUGCACAAUGGGCGCAAGCCUGAUGCAGCGACGCCGCGUGGGGGAUGACGGCCUUCGGGUUGUAAACUCCUUUCGCUAGGGACGAAGCUUUUUGUGACGGUACCUAGAUAAGAAGCACCGGCUAAAUACGUG
rnacentral:rRNA from 1 species